CAUGGAGUGGCUGUUGCUGUCCUCAGAGUCUCACAGGCUGAACUCCAGAUGUCAGCCGCGCUGUGGGGCUCCUGUGGGACCCAGAGAAUCAAGAAAGGCCGACAAACUCAGGGAUCCCAGAGAUCAGGAGCUCAGGGGACAUCCCUACGUUGCCGGAGGUGUUUCUGCCGCUUUUCGCCGCCUCGCUGUUUCUGAUGAACCUACCGCACUGUUUGACCUCAUGAUCUCAGUCGUCAGUAUGUGUCUGGAAAAUUAAAAACGCACAUCCACACUUCAGGGUGUUAUUCCCACCAGCCUCGGCUUCAAAAGCCGCGAGAUUGCAGGGACGGGUGGACAGGUGCGUAAACGAAUAAGCGUAUGGACACAGAGUGGAGCCCACGCUGCUCAAGGACACACAGAGGCCCAGUGACUGCAUGGUGCCUGCGCCCCGGCCCUCCUGUAACAUGCGGGUGAAGAACGGAGCCUCGUCCUUGCUGGUCAGGCUGCUGAGCUGGCUGGGAGCCUGUCAAGACCCGCGCUUAGAGGAGGUGGUGUGAUGGCUGGGACAGACCUGGCCCUCUGCUGCUCCCAGGCAGGAUCUGAAGCCCGUGGCUCCCCUUUGAGGCCAGGUUGGCCUUCGCAACAGCAGCAGUGCUGGGGACAUGCUCAGGCCCAGAUAAAAGCUCCUGUUUCACCCAGUGCUUCCUGAGGCUUCUGGGGAGACCCUUGAAGUGGCUGCAGCCAUGAGCCCUGUUGGCAGCUGUGGCGGUCAUAGUCCCAAUCACCGCGGACUUCCAGCUCGGUGGACCAUCAAGAGCCCAGGGAUGGCUCCUGAGCGCAGUCUCCGGGGACAGGAUUGUUUUGGAAACGGACCUACCUGCUUUGAUCAGGAGAAGAAAACAUCGGAUACGUGGAUUUUUAUUUCUUUGUUAGUAGAAAAGUUGCUGUCAUUUUGUAAAUUGUCCAUGUGCUGAGACCCCAGCGACAGGGACUCCUGAGGCCAUCUCCAACCCUGAAGGCAAAGGUUCCAUCUCUGCAUCUCCAGAACCUGCACGGGGCCUGGCACCCAUCACAGGGUAUGCAAACAGUGUCUGUGCCCCUCUCAGGUCGGGUGACCGGGAGCCAGGCCCACUGGCCUAGAGGAUGUCGCACAGUCUCAAGGAGUCUGAGUGCUUCCCUGGUUGGAUUCAGGCCGAACGCUGUCAGCAGGAGGCUCAGGCUGGCUCAGAGCCGAGGGAGGCUCAUCUGUCACCACGUCCCUGGGAUGUGAGGUUGGGGCCCUUGGUAGGGUGCUGUUCUUCUGUAGUUAAGGACACUUUUCCCUUUUGAAAUUGCCAAGUAGCGUAGGCUGCGGUGACACUUUGGGACCCUGUGGCUACCCUAUUUCCCCAAAUCUUCCCCCAGGGCCUUUGGCUUCCUCUGAUGGUCCACACCAAGCACUGCAUUCAAGGCUGCAAGUGUGAUUUUCCAUCGCGGUCAGGCUGCGUGAGCUUGGUGGCAGCCUCCGCCCCGCAGCCUCCCUCCCGGUCAUACUUCAGUAUGGUUAUGGACUCUGGGUUCUCUUUUGCUCUGCUACUAUGAUUUCUUCAGGUUCAAACAUCCUAAAUUUGGCCAGUGUGAGCCCCUUUCUUCCAGCAUAUUCCCUAACUGGUGCCCGUCACCCGGGAGCACUUCCUAACUUUCGGGCACGUGAUGGAGUCUGAGGACCACGUCAAUAUCAUGAAAGACAAAUGAGGAGGGGGCAUAGUUCCAGGAGUUGAUGGUGACCACUGAAGGGCGUGACCAGUCAUCACGUGACCAGUCAACCACAGGAUUCCAGGAUUGAGGGAAAGACUCUGAAUCUGGACGUUAAGCAUCUUGAGGUUAAGAUGGUUUGGAGACUGAGUAGCAAAUUGUUCUGUGAGGACGAGCACACGGACAUACUCCGGUGUGAGAUGCAGUCAUGCGCUGCAUAAUGACGUUCGGGUGAAUAUGAAGAGCCACAUGCGUGGUGGUGGUCCCGGGAGACCAUAAUGCAGCCGGAGGAUUCCCGUUGCUUGGUAUUUUUACUUCACUUUUUAUAUGUUUAGAUGUAUGAAUACCACUGCGUGACAGUCGCGUGGGGUCUUGUGGCCCAGAACGCGCCGGGCAGGUUCUCACCGAGGAGCGGUAGGCCCUACCACCCAGGACACCUUAGAGGACGCGGGCACCGUGAAAUCCGCUCACGAUGUUCCCCAGGAUGUAUUUCUGUCACUCGGUGACACACGACUCUAUCAGGUUGUUUGUGCCAUAUUCUCAAAUGGUUUCGCCAAAAAAGGGACCAGCACACACACGCCUUAUAAAUAACACAGAGAGACCCGAGCAAGCGCGGCGGCGUCUGCGCGGAGGCAGAGUCCAGGAAACGAGCGCGGGCCCUGCGGCCAGUCUCGCCGAGCGUUGUGAAGCGCAGGACCGUCUGCCCUGCCGGGCACACCAAGGUCACUGGGACAGCCUGGGUUGGCAGGCCCUGUACCUCAGGAAGGGCUCAGCCACGGCUCCUGCUCUGCCCGAGAGUGGCCCUGGCCGCCUCCUCUCCAGGCCUGGGCUCCUCGCCCAGGGAUUGAACCCGGAGUGCCUAACCAUUGAGCCGCAUCCCCAGCCCUUUUUGUGUUUUAUUAGAGACAGGGUCUCGCUGAGUGGCUUAGAGCCUCUCUGAGUCGCUGAGGCUGGCUUUGGACUGGAGAGCCUCCUGCCUCAGCCUCCCGAGCCGCUGGGAUGACUGUGCCACCACCCGUCUUGCCUCAUCCUUCUAGUCAGGGCACCAGGCCGACUGUUGAUGUCAGCUCUGACAGGCGGGGCGGAGGCCAUGGCUGGAGAACCUGAGGCCAGGCCGUCUUGAGCCAGGUUCUCCGUGGAGUGGGGAUGAGCUUGCUGGGCUCGACGGUCCCAGGCCCCUCAGGGUCUGCCUUUCCCAGACCAGGGAGUUUCCCUGAGGCCUGCGGGAGGUGACAGCAAGGGCUGGCAGUGCAGGCCUGGCGCCCCUCCUGUCCACCCAGGGGCACGGUGCCCCUGACUCCUCGCGGCUGCUGCACACCAGGGAGUGAAGUGCGAGACCCCGAGAAGGUUGCACUCAGCACGGUGCGUGCACAGCAAGAGGCCCCUGUGCAAAAACAGGGACCUGACAAGUAGCGCGACGCCGGUGGAGGCUGCGUGUGCCUGUGCUGGCUGCAUCCACACGGCACACGCAGCGCGGUCUGCCCUGAUCUGUCCUCAUUUACAAGUGGCUUCAGGGACACGCUGUGGUGAAGUGACUGUUUCCAUGGGACCCGCUGUUCUGGCAGCCCCCCAACACGGAGCCUAGGGCUGAAUCCGCACAGGAGACCAAGCGUGCAGGAGGUAGGCCGGGAGGCACUGUGUGGCCCUCGGCCAUACCUUCCACUUAGACACUCCAAACUGUAGAUUAAAGUUUUCUAAAUGAAAAAUAAUUUUUAUUAUAAAAGACACAAAUACCCAGCAUAAAAAUAAAGGAUCCCCCAAGUGCCGCAUUGGGGCGUUUCAACUGGAACUGAGAGUCCUGAGAGAUGCAUGGACCUGUCUUUGUCAUACAAAGACCCAUCCGCGUCCCCUGCUGACUCUAGAGGGAAGCUGAGUUGGGCAUUCAGGGCUUAGCUUGGUCCCCUCCCAAGGGGCACAGGGACAGCGAUCAUUUCUGGUUGCCAUGAUCCACUUCUCCUCCCUGAAGUAGCUGACUUCCUUUGGGAGUCGCUGGAGUGAUUCCGGGGACACCACCUGCCAGGAAAGCAGAAGGCAGGCCCCUGAACUUCCAGGCGGGUCUCUGCUGCUGGAGGUCAAGUACCUCGAUGGCACGUGGCCUGCCUGCUUGCCCAGGUGAGGACGUUGCUGGACACGCCUGCAGGGCCAGCUCUUCCUAGGACGCCUCCUUGGAAGCUCUCCCUCAGGGGGAGAAGACAGGGUCUUGGUGAGGUGACCUUUGGUCACUCGGAGGGUAACUGUAGGUGGUGCAGAGCAAACCCCCUCAGGCUGUCUGAAGGAGCCAGGAAGCGGGAGGGGACACCCAGGCUCAGGAGACCCACACCUGGGAAACCUUCAGGACACCAGGCCUCUGUUUUGUCCCCUAUCCUCGGAGCCUCAUGUCCCCUCUGGCCAUUUGCUUCAUUCCGUCCUUCUUUCUUCCUGACUGAGGACAUGGCUGAAAAAUGGCGGCUGCAUGGUCUCCAAACACAUGUCAGUGACCUGACUCUGACUGGCCCUGAGCAGGUCAGUGCUCUGUCCUCACCCAAUCCGCUGUGGACAGGAGUUCGGGUCACCCUUGGCUGCCGGAGGCCACUCCUGUGAGUGCGGAGGCUGUAACCCGACAGGAUGUCAGGAUGGCGUGCGUGUCUCAGGCUGGCCACGAGAGCCCUGAGGGUCAACCGUGCUCGCCCCUCGCUCCCUGGACAGGGAGAGUCCACCAGCCCGAGUCAGGGGGUGGACACAGAACUUUUAAUAAGAAGCUCUUCUGGGAAGUGCUGGGGAGAAAGACAACCCCUGGUUCUUACCGAAGAGUCCGCUUCCCUCUGCGAGGAGCCUGAUUCAUGGCGCUCAGCAGACACCGUCCAUCUUACCUCGCGGGGGUCUGGGGCAAGGGUUUUCACAGGCCGCUUUCCAGGCUAGCCCUGGGGAGCAGAGAGGCCUCAGGAGGGAAGGAGUCUCCCUCCCGGCCCCAGGGAAUCCCGCAGCCGUGAGGGAGCUCUGGGGGCUCCGGAGAUCAGGCCCCAUCUUCAUCCAGAGAGAGGGCACACGGGGCCCGGUGUGGUCAGCCCAGGAGGCUGGCCCUGCACACCUGAGGCCCUGGUUCCACUCCCCAGCACUGCAGGGAAAAAAAAGCAACAAAAUAAAUAAAAUAAAAUAGAGCAGAGCAGCCCCGGCUUUCCCAGAGCAGACCCCAUUUCUGUAUUUUCUUGGUCUCCUUUUCAGUCAGGACUCUAUUAUUUUCUUUCAUUUGAAUUUAUUGAGAUAGUCACAGACCAUAGCAUUCACCAUUUGAAAGGGUGCAGCUCAGUGGUUUUUAACACUCACAAGGCUGUGCAGUCGCCACCACCAAAUCCAGAAUAUCCGUGGCACCAAAAAGAGGCCCCAUGCCCCGGCCAGUCGCUUCCCAGCUGCCCCCACAGGUAACCACGGCCUUCUUGGCUCUGGGGAGCUGGCUGCUUUGGACACUUCACGUAAAUGGAAUCCUGUGCCACGUGGCCUGUGCUGGCUUCCUUCGCUUGGUGCACUGUUUCCAGGGUCGCCUGUGUUGCGGCCUGAAUUGGCCCUUCCCUCAUCAGGGUAGCAGAACGUGCCAUUGUAAUUCUUUUUGUUUCAGUAAAGAGCACCUCGUCCAUUUUGGUUUUAAUUGAGGAACAUUUCAAAUCACUAUAAACCAACAAAUGGGCUCUGGGAUCCCCUCGGGGGUCAGGGAGCCGGAGCUGAGUUGAGCAGGGAGUGUUAUUUUUUAAAAUUUACCGGGGAUUGAAGCCGUGGUGUAACCACUGAGCCACAUCCCCAAUCCUUUCGACAUUUUUGUUUAGAGACAGAGUCUCGCUAAGUUGCUCAGGGCCUUGCUACGUUGCUGAGGCUGGCUUCGAGCUGGCGAUCCUCCUGCCUCAGCCUCCCGAGCCCCUGGGAUUGCAGGCCUGUGCCAUGCACCACUGCGCUGAGUUCAUUACAGGGUUAUUUUUGAGGACUGACUGAACGGAUCUGAGGUGAGGCUGGAAGGUACCAGCUCAUGGAACCGGAUGGAAGAACCUGAGUCCUGCUGUUGCCUGACCUGCAGAAGUUUCUUGGGGAAGGUGCUGACGGGGCUCACUCAACCAUCAGUCAGAACCCAGUGCCCAGAGGCAGACGGCCUCCUGGGAUCCCAAGGUGACCUGUGCCAGGCCUCAGGGGGCCCACGGGACUCUCUUUUCGGGAAUCCUGGCUCCUGUGUGUCCUUGGCCACCAUGCGACCUCAGUCCUGCCUUUGCAGGUGCUUGACCCCAGCCGACCUGUCCUCCCUGGGGACCUGAUGACCUUCGUGCAUCCACCUAGUGCUGUCUGGACUACAGGACGCUGCAGAUAGGUCCAUACGGCCAUGAGCAGAAAGGAAGGGCUUCCUCCGCUUCCUCCUCCGCCACCUGAAGUGCCACGGGUCUUGCCCUUCUCGGGAACCCCAGGACCUGGAGCAAGCUCUCCGCUCCCUCUGGUCUUUCUCCUCUGAAGCAGGGCUUAACGAUGCCUCCAGAGUUACCAGAAGUAAUAUUUGACCGUCGUCAAUUUUCUAGGUAGAGAGGGAAUAUUGCUUACAAGUGCAAUCAAUGAAUUGGAUUUCACCCACAGAAAUGGUGCUUCUCUGCUUGGGAGGUGUGAGGAGAGAGUGAGUGACUGAGCACCCAGGGCAGGGUCCAGGGAGGUCCGCGAGAUGUCACCUCAUCUCCUCCAACAGGAUCGAGGCCCUGUCCUGGUCCUGAUGCUGACCCUCUGGCCCUCUGACUCAACCUUGCCCAGAGUCCUUGGUGCCGAGGUCACCUGCUCAGCCUAGUAUCACAGAUCAGGCCACAAAAUACACAUUUUUUGAGAUUAUUUCUUCCUAAAAUUUCCUAGGUUUGUUUUUCUUUUUUCUUUCUUUCUUUUUUUGUUUGAGACACAGCAUUUAAUUCAUUUAGAAAUUUGGAAUUCCACAGAAAGGGAACGUGAGGGUUUUCUUUGCACUCACCAAUAGUGGGGGCCCAGGCUAACAGCAGUGUGGGGGUACCAGCUUUGAAAACCAGAGGUGGUUGAUGAACCCCUCACACCCCUGGAGGGUCUGGUGAAGAUCAUUUCUCAACCUCCUCAGCUGAAGAAGAGCCAUAAAGAACCAAACCUGCUUCAAAAGGCACUUGACAAGG